rnacentral:rRNA from 1 species
GGAAGUCUGUAUACCACCCUGAACACGCCCGAUCUCAUCUGAUCUCGAGAGCUAAGCAAGGUCGGGCCUGAUUAGCGCUUGGAUAGGAGCUUUUAAAAUGUGAUCACUUCCC